AACGAACGCUGGCGGCAUGCCUAACACAUGCAAGUCGAACGGGAUCCUAGCUUGCUAGGUGAGAGUGGCGGACGGGUGAGUAACACGUGGGAAUCUCGCCUUUUGGUUCGGGAUAACCGCGGGAAACUGCGGCUAAUACCGAAUGCCCUCGAGAGAGGAAAGAUUUAUCGCCAGAAGAGGAGCCCGCGUCCGAUUAGGUAGUUGGUGGGGUAAAGGCCUACCAAGCCGACGAUCGGUAGCUGGUCUGAGAGGAUGAUCAGCCACACUGGGACUGAGAUACGGCCCAGACUCCUACGGGA
rnacentral:rRNA from 1 species